rnacentral:rRNA from 1 species
AGACGUAGGGGGCAAGCGUUACCCGGAAUCACUGGGCGUAAAGGGAGCGUAGGCGGCCUUGAAGGUUGUAUGUUAAAGACGACGGCUUAACCGGAGAAAUGCAUACAAAACCGCAAGGCUUGAGGAUAUCAGAGGAAAAGGGAAUUACCAUUGUAGGGGUGAAAUCCGUAGAGAGUGGUAAGAAUGCCGGUGGCGAAGGCGCUUUUCCGGGGUAUACCUGACGCUGAGGCUCGAAAGCUAGGGGAGCGAACCGGAUUAGAUACCCGGGUAGUCCUAGCCGUAAACGAUGUUCACUAGGUGUAGGAUGUCGACAGGCAAACUGUGCUGAAGCUAACGCGAUAAGUGAACCGCCUGGGGAGUACGUCCGCAAGGAUGAA